UGGGGAAUAUUGCACAAUGGGCGAAAGCCUGAUGCAGCAACGCCGCGUGAGUGAUGAAGGCCUUCGGGUUGUAAAGCUCUGUCUUUUGGGACGAUAAUGACGGUACCAAAGGAGGAAGCCACGGCUAACUACGUGCCAGCAGCCGCGGUAAUACGUAGGUGGCAAGCGUUGUCCGGAUUUACUGGGCGUAAAGGAUGCGUAGGCGGAUUUUUAAGUGAGAUGUGAAAACCCUAAGCUUAACUUGGGGACUGCAUUUCAUACUGGAAAUCUAGAGUGCGGGAGAGGAGAAUGGAAUUCCUAGUGUAGCGGUGAAAUGCGUAGAGAUUAGGAAGAACACCAGUGGCGAAGGCGAUUCUCUGGACCGUAACUGACGCUGAGGCAUGAAAGCGUGGGUAGCAAACAGGAUUAGAUACCCUGGUAGUCCACGCCGUAAACGAUGAGUACUAGGUGUAGGAGGUAUCGACCCCUUCUGUGCCGUAGUUAACACAAUAAGUACUCCGCCUGGGAAGUACGAUCGCAAGAUUAAAAACUC
rnacentral:rRNA from 1 species